AGAAAAGCCUUUAAACUCAGCAUAGCUGCAGACAUUAUGGAACAUCUUGAAGAGCAGGAGGAGGAGAAGCAGGUUUGCUGGCUGGUUUCAUGUCUGGAUGUAAUGGACUUCUCUGGAGCCUUGGCUUGUAUGGACUAGUUCUACUGACUGCAAGAAAACAAGAGAUUUAACUAUAGGAAGAAAAAAAGGGAAGCAGCAUUUCAACGUGAAGAAUAGCCCAGGAUUAAAAGAAUUAAGAAAAUUAACAUGAGAAAGGAGCUGCACUUAAGCCAUUCAGACUCUCCAGCAUUAAUGGAAGU